rnacentral:tRNA from 1 species
AAGCAGCCGCCGGAGUGAACGGGCACCAUUGAUGUUGGUGAAUAUAAGAUAAAUCUCUUGCUGCUUU